rnacentral:snoRNA from 1 species
UGUUGCUGGAGGAUGAAAUUAAGGAGUGAUCCGUCGGCUAAUUAUCUUACCACUAUGCUGAAACUCAAAUUACUGACAGCACACA